rnacentral:rRNA from 1 species
GACGUAGGACACAAACGUUAUCCGGAGUUACUGGGCGUAAAGGGCGCGUAGGCGGCCUUCUAAGUCGAACGUGAAAUCCCCGGGCUCAACCCGGGAACUGCGUCCGAUACUGGAAGGCUUGAAUCCGGGAGAGGGAUGCGGAAUUCCAGGUGUAGCGGUGAAAUGCGUAGAUAUCUGGAGGAACACCGGUGGCGAAGGCGGCAUCCUGGACCGGCAUUGACGCUGAGGCGCGAAAGCUAGGGGAGCAAACGGG